rnacentral:rRNA from 1 species
UACGUAGGGACCGAGCGUUGUCCGGAAUCAUUGGGCGUAAAGAGCGUGUAGGCGGCCAGGUAGGUCUGCUGUGAAAACUCGAGGCUCAACCUCGAGAUGUCGGCGGAAACCAUCUGGCUAGAGUCCGGAAGAGGAAAGUGGAAUUCCUGGUGUAGCGGUGAAAUGCGCAGAUAUCAGGAAGAACACCCGUGGCGAAGGCGGCUUUCUGGGACGGUACUGACGCUGAGACGCGAAAGCGUGGGGAGCGAACAGG